AAGGGGGCAUGGCCUCCCUCCAAGAUUGACAGGGAGGAACCACCAUCUGCUUCCUAGUGGGCAGAGCCAGGAAGGCCACGCCCACCCUGCUGGAAGCGUGGGGGCAGGAGAAGAAUUACAAAAGUCGGGCCCUGCAGCUCAUUUGGGCUGGAGCUCCUGAGGGAGACAGAUACUUCUCCCCUGCUGCUGUAGGAGGACACUGAGGAGGACCACUGUUGCAUUGAGGAUUCGCCCGAGCUUCCAGAGCUGCCAGCUACUCCAGACAUCAAGGAGAUGCUGGGAUUACCAUUGACUGUAUAUCCCAGUGAGAUGGAGGAUGACCCCGGGAUCCAGGAAAGGGAAGUAGGGAAAGAUGAGUGAGAGCGAUGCAGUUGCUAAGUUAGAGCCGUACAGACUCCAGGUGGCCGAAAGGGAGAGAAAACACCAGCGAACCUUGGAGCUGAAAGAAGCAGAGGCUGCCAGAGAGGAGACAGCACACACAAGGGCUGUGGAAGCACAGGCUGCCAGGGAAGCAGAAGCACAUCAGCGGGCCCUAGAACUGCAAGCCAGAGAAGCUGACGAAAAGGAAAAAGUGCAAAGACACCAAUUGGACUUGCUAAAGAAGCAGAACCAGAAUCCUCCCACUCCACUGAUUCCCCCCUCUCCAAAUAUCCACAAAUGGGAACAACGGUGCCCUGAAUACAGAGACAGAUGAUGUGGCACAAUAUUUAACUGCUUUUGGGAGGCUGUGUGUGAUUCAUCAGAUUCCUGAUGACAAGAAAAUCCCCACUUUGGUUGCCAAGUUAACUGGUAAAACUCUGGAUAUAUUCAAUGAAAUGCCAAUUCAGGAUGCUUUA